GACGAACGCUGGCGGCGUGCUUAACACAUGCAAGUCGAACGGAAAGGCCCUGCUUUUGUGGGGUGCUCGAGUGGCGAACGGGUGAGUAACACGUGAGUAACCUGCCCUUGACUUUGGGAUAACUUCAGGAAACUGGGGCUAAUACCGGAUAGGAGCUCCUGCUGCAUGGUGGGGGUUGGAAAGUUUCGGCGGUUGGGGAUGGACUCGCGGCUUAUCAGCUUGUUGGUGGGGUAGUGGCUUACCAAGGCUUUGACGGGUAGCCGGCCUGAGAGGGUGACCGGCCACAUUGGGACUGAGAUACGGCCCAGACUCCUACGGGAGGCAGCAGUGGGGAAUAUUGCACAAUGGGCGGAAGCCUGAUGCAGCAACGCCGCGUGCGGGAUGACGGCCUUCGGGUUGUAAACCGCUUUCGCUUGUGACGAAGCGUGAGUGACGGUAAUGGGGAAAGAAGCACCGGCUAACUACGU
rnacentral:rRNA from 1 species